AGGCUCUAUUGACCUCACCCUAAUCAACACUUGUCUCGGUUCGAUCAACUGCAAAAUUGAUUUAGACCCAAUAUGAUCAAAUCAAAAACUUUUUGAUAUAAUCCAAUUACAUGACCUAAUUUGAUCUACCCAUGACCAAUCCCUCAUGCACAAACACUAAUUUCAAAUCUUAAAUCAAAAUUUUUAGAUCUAAAUUUUUUGCAUGAAGAGUAAAUUUUGAUCUUGAAAUAAUUUCAGAUCAUGUAUAUAAAUAUGUAUCACAUACAUAAACAAGUUCAGGUCAUAGAAACA
rnacentral:lncRNA from 1 species